rnacentral:rRNA from 1 species
UACGAAGGGGGCUAGCGUUGUUCGGAUUUACUGGGCGUAAAGCGCACGUAGGCGGAUCGUUAAGUCAGGGGUGAAAUCCUGGAGCUCAACUCCAGAACUGCCUUUGAUACUGGCGAUCUUGAGUCCGGAAGAGGUGAGUGGAACUCCUAGUGUAGAGGUGGAAUUCGUAGAUAUUAGGAAGAACACCAGUGGCGAAGGCGGACUCACUGGUCCGGUACUGACGCUGAGGUGCGAAAGCGUGGGGAGCAAACAGG